CCACCAAAUUCCCGGUCAAAAUUAAAUACUAAACCGCAUAAGAUAGAGUCACUAGAAGUUAGGGUUUUCUACUUUUGUUUCCUUUGAGCCUGAGUACUGCCUCUCCUCUCCUCUCAAGUGUGCCCUAAGAUUGACCUCUCAAUCUCCGCGGCCGACGAGAGUAGCACUUUCAAGCUUAAAAGAUGUGCCAGAGGAAGCAGAAAAGAGCAAUUAGGAAUAGUUCGUCAAGGAGCAUUUUUAACUAAAACAUUUAAGAUUAAGAAUUUGAAGCUUGAAGAACCGUUCCUUCAAGAACGUGCAGGGCAAGUUCAAGUACAAGAGAUUUUCAUUUGGUUAAGGGUGGUCUGAAGAUGUUCUCUUAUGUACAUAUGCAGCAUUUCUAGUUUGUCUUUUUAGGAGUUGAUAAAAAUAAUGUCAUAUAGUUUGAAUGUGUAUAUUUUGUGGAAAUGCAAUGCUUUAGUUCUUUGUAUAAACAAUGAAAAUUUUGAAAUGCAUAUUGAUUAUCUGGUA